CGGGUUGGUCGAUUUGGCAAAAUGUAACAAAACAUACUCAAAUAAAACCUGUACGUCAUCCAAAUAAGAUUAAUAUUUAGUACGGGUAACAACUAUUCGAAUAAAAAUUCAACCAAAUACAACUAAUACAGUCAUGAUCCAAUGUCAAUAAACUUGGAAACUAAUAUAGACGGUAAACUUGUGAUAGACAGCUAAAUAAGCAAAAUGAUUCAUCAGGAGCUUUGCAUCUCCAAAGGGCUGUCAUCUAUUGUAAAUAUUGCAUCUUAGAAGAGCUGCCAUCCAUUGCAUCUCAGACCUCAGUUUGCAAUCUCCAGAUAAAUCCCAACAAAAAAGGCAGCUGUUGAUUCUGAUCUGUACAAGUAAACAUAUCAUAUAAAAAUGAAAAUGUUGGAAGCUUGAUCUGUCUGCAUAAAAGAAGCAUAAAAACUUGAUUCACUUAAAUUAAAGAGUUGCCAUCCAUUGUAAAUUCUGCAGGCAUUGCCAUCUAUUGAAUUAGAAGCUUGAUCUUGGAUAUAUACUUGCACGCACUAUGACGUGAUAUGAACUAAAAUUAGUAAUGAGAUUCUUUGAAUUCUAGAGGAGGGUAUUACCUGAGAAUGCUAAAUGGUUGUGUCAAAUCUUUGAUCUUAAGGCUAGAAAGUUUGAGGGAUAAAGAGGUUCCAGUCCAGGCACCUCUUUUCAGACAAAAACAAGUAAAGUUGCCAAUCUUCUGAGAUUCAAAAAACAUAUAGCAUAACAUGGUGAUUGUAGAUAUGCAUAUUUCGAGUCUGACUAAAUGAAUUAUAAGACAUCUCACAGAAACAGUGAGAAGAAAGGAUUUUAAUAAGACUAGAGACAUAAAGUUUUUAUUUACAAACAUACCAGGAAUGGCAAUUGUGACCAAGGUCAACUAUGUUAAUAUAUAGCAAAAAUAAUUCUGCAAUACUAGAGCUCGGUAGUAUCAAGCGUCCUGUUAGCAUAAAAAUUGUACAAAUUAGUGCUACAAAAAUAAGAAAAUUGUUGGAAAUAUACAAAUCAUGAAAUUAUUGACAGAUUAAUAUGCCUAUCUCAAAAGUGAAACCAUGUAAAAUGAAAUGAACCACUUAGCAUUGGCCCCUUGGUCAUCUUCAGUUGAUUUUGAAUUCAUUGAUUCUAAAAGUUCAUCCAUUUGGUUGUAAUGCUCAACAUCUUCCAUGCAAAAACCAUCCAAGUUUGGAGAAGCCUUCAACCAAUUUUGAGUGCAUACUAAGACCUCAACCAUUCUAGGACUUAAGGAACUACGGAAAGGAUCAAGUAUCCUUCCUCCAGUACUAAAUGCACUUUCUGAACCAACAGUUGAAACUUGAAUUGCCAACACUUCUUUGGCCAAAUUGGACAAGACGCCAUACUUAUUUCCGUUCACCUUCCACCAAUCUAGAACUUCAAAAUCCUUAUUCUCUAUGCUUUCACGAGCAUCUAAUAAGUAUCGUUCAACAUCAUUUUUUUUAUCUCAUCCUUAUCCUUAAUUGCUUGUUUUUCCAUCAAUCUAGAAAGACGAGCAUCACUUACAGAAGAAGAAGAUCCUUCAUAAGUAUUGAUUGAACUUGAAGACUCUUCAGUUGAUGCUUGACUACUUCCAUGAAUGC
rnacentral:lncRNA from 1 species